CAACUGUACUCAAAACGUCGCGUCCGACGUCCUCCCUUCGAGGGACAACCGAUAUGACACCGUCAUCACCUACGGUUGCUGUCCUGUUGCUGAAAUCACCCAUUUUCAGAUGCAAGAGGGGAAAACGAGAGCGACGUUCACUGAACCGCUGAACUAUGGUAAUCGAAGGCUGGACAACCAUAACAUUGCACAAAGUUGUUCUCCUUGAAUGAUCAACAAGCGACUCUAGAAUAAUUGUAGACAACGUGUUCAUAUUGGAACAAAGAUUCAUAUUUGUAACCUCUUGGCUAUAAACGUGAGAAAUGUCGACGUAUGAAGUAAUAGCAUACUGUGGCUAUUUUGGCUAUUUUAAUUGCAACGAUUGCGACAAGGUAAUAGGGUCAGUGAGGUCAGAAUAAAGAUAAUUUUAGUUCAUCCACAACAAAUUCCAGUGUUCAUAUCGACAUUAUACAUGUAUUACAAUAAAAAAAUAUUUUCACGCAAAUUCUGUUAUUUGUCCAUGUAACAACAUUGCUUAUACAGGUAGUCUACAUAUUCACCUUCAUAAUGCCUAGCUUACAGAUUCUGCAGGCAAAAACUAGAGAACCAGUUCUUAUAUUGAAGUUUAUUUAUUAGUACUAUUUAAUACAAACAAGCAACAAUAAAAAUAAAACUUGCCAAAAUGCUAUUUUCCCCAACCCUUCCCUCCCCACAUACACACUAACAACAACAUCUAAUUCUGCACUGCAACAUGUUAAAUUAUUAAAUUACAAAUAUUUUAGGUGAUUUAAAUUUUAAUCAAUCUCCAUAUGAAAGAUUUCUCUCUGGCGUGGUCCCUCUUUUAUUUACAAAAGCAUCAUUUACAAAUAUUUUUCUCACAACGGCAAAGACAGAAAAAUGUAAACAUUUUAUUUGGCUGUUUUCUGCUUCAGGUUAAUAAAUAGGUUAAAAAGUACAUUUUAUUAUUCCCCCCCCCCCUUGUCAAUAACAGAUGUGAUUGCAAAAGUGUGUGUACGACUUGUAGUCGCAGAAAAUACAUUAACAAUGGCUUAAAAAAAAAGAA